rnacentral:lncRNA from 1 species
CAGGUUUUUGGAUACUCUUAGAGGCAGAGGAUGAAGCCCUUGGGGAGUAGGGAAGCUGAGGCACAAGAGGCUUGCCAAUUUGAUUAGAUAUUGCUGCGACGGCAACAAGAGGCUGCUGGUGGCCGAGUACAUACCCAAGGAUACCCUUGCUAAAUAUCUCUUCCACUGAAGCAGGUGAAGGUUUGAAAGGGCCCAGGAAAGUUUUAUGAAGAUAAGGAUGUAGUUUCUGGGGUUAGUUACAGUUUCUGUGAGAAUCAAGAUGAUAAGGAAUCUGGAAAUGUGGGAGACACUACUGAUAUAGUGGAAAGAACUGAAAAUGGUUGGAACCAAAUAUGAGAGCAAAGAAGGAGAUAUAGAAUUUCAGCAGAGAUAAAUAUCAUCUGCUUCUGGUGAAAAAGAAUGUAGUGUCUCAGUCAAGGAAAGUAAUAGAUCAGAGAAUAAAAGAGAUCGAAGAUGUAAAAUAAAAACAUCCUGUUCAGAAGUGAAUUCAAAUAUCCGGAGAGUGACAGACAAGAUAAAUCAGAUGAAAGAUUAGAUGAUUAGAGCUAAAGCAUACAUGACUUUUGCACCACCUAACUCACAGUUGGUGAAGGAGUUGAAACUUCGAACUAAAGAGGUGGACAUGUGGUCGGUGGAACUCACAAGGAUUCUGAUUUAUCUUGGAGAAAAUGAGAACAUGGAGGCCUCACUAUCCAAAGCAGCCGUGCUUUCCCAGACUGCUCUGCUAUGGCCACAAAACUACGUUCUAUGACCACAGUGCUGAAGAGCAAGUUGCGUUGCAGAAGAAGCAAGUCACAUUUCUUUAUCACCUUGCUGGAAGUACUAACCCAAAGGUCUUCAUUGUCUUUCUUUGCAGCUGACUGCAGAGUACUUUGCUCUCGAGUCCAAGGAAAGGCAAUUUCCUAACCGACACAAGUUGCAUGAUACACAGCUCUAUCAUUGUGCUGUCUUCUCCGACAAUGUUCUGGCAUGUGAAGUGGUUGUGAACUCCACUCUUUUCACUGCCAUGGAACCAGAGAAAAUUGUUUUCCAUGUGGUGACUGAUUCACCCAAUUUUCCAGCAUUUUCCAUCCUCCUGGAAAAAGCCACUAUCCAAGUUUAGAGCAUAGAGAGUUUUG